rnacentral:rRNA from 1 species
UACGUAGGGGGCUAGCGUUGUCCGGAAUCAUUGGGCGUAAAGAGCGUGUAGGCGGUCCGGUAAGUCCGCUGUGAAAGUCGGGGGCUCAACCCUCGAAUGCCGGUGGAUACUGUCGGGCUAGAGUGCGGAAGAGGCGAGUGGAAUUCCUGGUGUAGCGGUGAAAUGCGCAGAUAUCAGGAGGAACACCGAUUGCGAAGGCAGCUCGCUGGGACGUUACUGACGCUGAGGCGCGAAAGCGUGGGGAGCAAACAGG